rnacentral:rRNA from 1 species
UACGUAGGGACCGAGCGUUGUCCGGAAUCAUUGGGCGUAAAGCGCGUGUAGGCGGCCCGGUAAGUCCGCUGUGAAAGUCCAGGGCUCAACCCUGGAAAGCCGGUGGAUACUGUCGGGCUAGAGUCCGGAAGAGGCGAGUGGAAUUCCUGGUGUAGCGGUGGAAUGCGCAGAUAUCGUAAGGAAGACCAGUGGCGAAGGCGGGUCUCUGGACAGUUCCUGACGCUGAGGCACGAAGGC